rnacentral:rRNA from 1 species
AUACGUAGGGGGCAAGCGUUAUCCGGAUUUACUGGGUGUAAAGGGAGCGUAGACGGCGAUGCAAGUCUGAAGUGAAAACCCGGGGCUCAACCCCGCGGACUGCUUUGGAAACUGUAUUGCUGGAGGGCAGGAGAGGUGAGUGGAAUUCCUAGUGUAGCGGUGAAAUGCGUAGAUAUUAGGAGGAACACCAGUGGCGAAGGGGGCUCACUGGACUGUAACUGACGUUGAGGCUCGAAAGCGUGGGGAGCAAACAGGAUUAGAUACCCUGGAAGUCCACGCCGUAAACGAUGAAUGCUAGGUGUCGGGGGGCAAAGCCCUUCGGUGCCGCCGCUAACGCAUUAAGCAUUCCACCUGGGGAGUACGUUCGCAAGAAUGAAACUCAAAUGAAUUGGCGGGG